GGACCCGCAAUAUCUCCGAGGUAUGCCUGUGUAUGUUAUAGUUGUCUGUUUCCGAUAUCAGGUAACUUAAAAAUAUGUCUGAUAUUUUGGAACGCCAUGUUGCUUCAUGGAGAACCAGUCAAAAGCUUCAGUGUUCCUCCCCUCCAGCGGCAACCGUCAUCAUGUUUAUCCCAAUGUUAGGUAUCAUGGACCUUUUUUUUCCUCAACUACUCCCUUUGUAUCCCAUCGCCCCUCGUGACUGGUUGGACGGCACUGUGUCCUGCAUCCCCCUCCCAGACUUUUGUAGGACAUUAUACAACCCUCUCAAAGUUACGCCGUACCCUCCCAAAUUACUCAGCUUUGGAAUAAAAUGUAUAAAUGUAUCAGGCUCGUAGUUUGGAACGGUGUGCGUUGUGUUACAGAAGACUGAAGCAAAGUGAACGCGGGCUGCAGUGUUGCUAGUGUGUGGAACCAGAAUACGUGUGUUCAUAUCUUUACAUAUCUGUGUUGAUUUCCUUGCUGUUUUGUGUCUAGGAACCUUCCACGGAUUUCUCAGAACUCAGAUCUUUAUUGCACUUAUCGCAAUUUGAUGGAUAUCCUUCAAUGGAAGUGCUUGUAAUUGUUUACAUCAACAAAAAUACAACUGUAUAGCUCUUAGUUCAGCUGUAUCAUUAUGGACUUAAGAAUACGACAACAAACCGCAGAUAGGUUUAAAAUAUAACGUGGUAGCUUGCUAAUACAGAAUAUCCAGUUAUUCAGAUUACGUAUUUGAUGGGAUAACAUCGUACAGAAGACAGCAUUUUGCAUGUAACAACAGGUUGUGUUUUAUUUGAGGUCGAAGAAAGUGUUCCCAACAUCGGGUAUCUAACUGGACGAAGAAAAUGUUGUAAUAUCUGAUACACUGCACACCGAUAUGCUGAUACCAAGAGUAUGGAUCAGGGAAAUCAUCAUAACAACAUGUUAAAAGUCUAAAAUAGAAGUUUCCUAAGCACUUCUCAAACAACCUCAGCCUGAGUUUAUUCAACUUGGAGUGAGACAGCAGAGACACAAGUAAUCGACUGAGCUACCUUAGUACAAAAUUCUUGCCUUCUCACGCCCUUAAUUUUCAUCGUGUCAAAAUCCACGUGCGUAUUUCUUAUACAUUGCUUGUCGGGAUUUAGAAAGAGGUACAUCAUUUUGCAUGACUUCCCUAUUUCUUAUUGUGGACAAAAUUACUUUUUCCAGACUUGAACUGUGUUUUCCAAACGCCCUUAAUCCUAAUUUCAGUAUCCAAAAUGGAAUGAGCUAAUGUUCCAACAACUUCA